UUUAUCACUCAGAGCGGUGCCAUGAUGGCUCUGAAUCUUUCCUGCAUGAUGCAUGUCCACUCUGGGAAAGUGAAGGCUCAUUGCAAAUACAUAGAGAAGGUAGUAUUUGAAUCACUUCUAGAGAAAAUGAGCAUUGGUCAUUUGCAUGUUGAUUAUAAUAUUAACAAUAGAAAAGAAGUGAUUUUAUUAUUUGAUAAUGCAAUGUAGAACUGUUUUGCAAAGUGAUGUUGUACAGAUAACCUGAGAGGCAAGUGAGAAAACAAAAUCUGGUGAUGAGUUUUUUUUUUUAAACCAGGAUAAUUUUCUGAAUUCACUACUAUUAUUGUUUAAUCUGCGAAAAUGUAAGAAAACAGUUUUACCAGGUGCAAAAAAAGCCGUUGUCCGUUGUUAUUUCUUCUUGAAAUACCAAUGUUGGAGACAAGAGGCUCAAGUGCAGGUAUACUGUAUGUACAUUGUGUAAGAAAGCAUGGAGAAAUGUAAACCUAAAAAAAAGGGACAAUAUCAUUUAGACCAAACAUUAAAAAUGGAUUGCCAAUUAUUAUUUUUUUCACAUUUGCCUCUCUCGAAUUAUACUGGUAAUUAUCCAAGAUUUCUGAAUUCAUUGACUGUUGUUAAUGUGUUUCUGCUCAAAUAUUUCAGCGUAACCCUGAUGGAACUGUUGCAGUAGGUAACUGUCAGACGGGAUAUAAAGGGGAAAGGGGAGAGAGAGGUCUUCCUGGGCUGCCGGCACCACAAAGCUCAUUUGUUUCAAGGGGAGGCUGGGGGUCAAGUGGUGACCAGGGCCUUAAGGGAGAGAAGGGCAACAGGGGGGAGGGAGGGUUCUCCGGAACACCAGGCACCCCCGGGAGAACCGGACCUGUGGGCCCCAAAGGAGAGUCUGUGAUCGGACCCCAGGGCCCCCCCGGGGUGCCGGGUUCACCGGGGUUCCCCGGCUAUGGCAGACCAGGACCGGUGGGCCCUGCUGGACCCCCAGGGCCCCCGGGACCCUCUGGGACCCCCUUAAGAUACGGCUCAGGUACAAUUCAUUGUAAGAGCCACUUAAGAACAUUUGUAUUUGAGUAAAACAUGAUUAUGUCGGCAU